AGCCACAGCUCUCAUUAGUUGAUUCCACAGGACUGUAAUAGACUUGUUAGGACGACGAUCUUCGCUUCACCGUAAUUUACCACCAGGCUGUUGUUAACGCUGUGCUUUUCUGAUACAGAUAUACCUACGGCAAGGUUGUGUGGGGGAGUGUGUAAACUCCGCAAUAUGCGUUCAUUUUUUUGGCUUCUUUACGUUGGACUGAUUGUGGUCAUCACGAUGGAUUUCUGUACAGCACAGGACUCCCAGUCCACAGCCUCCUGUGCGCAAUUCACUACUAUCCCGGGGUGUCCAAAAGAUUAUGACCCGAUGUGCACCAGUGACAGGAACAAGUACGGCAACCUAUGCCUGCUGUGCAGAGCGAUCGAGAGCGGCAAACUCCCCGAGGACGCCUCCUUCGCACGGUGCACCGAAGAACAACUUGAAAAUAAUCAGUAACAGGAAACUAAAAAAGUGGUGGAAAUUUAUGGUGUAUUAUGUCAGUUCUUCUAAAAUGGUUGAACUGUGAUCAAUAGAAGAUACAUAUCUAUGAAGACAACACAGUGGCCUUAAUCGUUUCUGCUGAGUGGAGACAGGCUAGAGUCCUUUUUUCUUGGUUUUACCUGUAUGCCUAGAGAAACUGCAUAAUAUUCUUAACCAAUCGUAAUCAGUUAAAGCUCCCUUGAAAAGCUUCAUUUAAGGAUAAAUCAGACUUUCACUAAUCGUGUCAGUUGGAGUUGGAAUGACGCAAAUUGAUCAUUUACACAUAGCAGUUUGCUCUUUUGCAUAUUCAAAAUUCUUGAGUUAUUUAAAUGCAUUAGCCUUCUUACAAGAAAGCUACAAUUAUACACAAGUUGCUGCUGAGUAUUGCAAUGCUGCAAAAAGGGUUGCUUUCCUUGAAUUUCAAUCUUUAAAUGACUAAUCAUCAAUUAAUUCAUUGGAAUGUUAUGAAGAAGCAGAAACUGAGUAUGCUGUCAAAAUCUCUUAAACUGAAAAGAAUUGCAAUUCCAUAUCACUUCCAAGGUGUUGAUAGAUUUCCUUCAUUGUCUUUUCGUCGUUCUUGUUUUAAUUAAUUGUCUGAGUUUCUUUGCAUUGCUGGGUUAGUUGAUUGUUUUGAAACUAAAACAAUCAGCGCAAACGUUACUAAUCUGUUCAAAUCGGUCAAAUAAACUAAUAUCGAUUUGACAAUGCAUGACUGAAAAUAUAAAGUGUGAUACCAUUUUCUUAAAAGCAUGUGUUGAUACCCAAAAUAGCCUGUCGUGCAAUUUUGCAGCGUGUCGAUACGUACCCAGCAAGCGACCUUCAAAUCAUUGACGUGUUAUUUAUUCAGCGACAGCGCAAAAUAAUACUUUGGAGUGGAUCUGGGAGGCAGGAAAUAUAUGUCAGUAUAACACGUCGUUGCCGAAGCCAAUAUAACUGUAACAAGGUCCCCUUUUAUAAAGCUGUGAAGCAGAAAAUAUUGCCUGGUAAAUUAUAACGUGUUGGCAAAAAAGUAAGCAAGUUGUAAAAUUCCCGCUAAUGCAGAACUGUCUCGGGUGGGUUAAAAUUUCAUAUUCAAAUUGUCCUUAAACCCUGUUCAAGACAAAGUUCUCCAAUGUUGAACCACGAUCUUCCAUUUAUUUUAAGUUGAACUAAAUACCUUUCUUUUAAGUUUUAAAUUGAAAUUUCAUCAUCUUUUUUGACGUUUUCAUUGUCUUCUGGUAGCUUAUAACGUUCCAGCGCUGUGUUGUGACUUCGUUUUGGUUGAUGUAAUUUGUUCUUGCCCUGUUCGGGGGUCUUUCAACAUUUAGCCGCAGGUCCUAAAAUAGAAUUAGUCAUAAGCCCAUGGGGUGAACCCCCCCCCAUCCAAGCGUGGCACUGCAUCGACAAGGGAAUAAAAGUGCGAUAUGGGGCUUUUUGGAACCCAUGCCUUGGAAACAGGAUGGAACCUAGUGAUUGUAUGCACCGUGUUACGAUACGAAAAACUCCAAACUAUUUAAUUAUUAUGAAGCUUGAAUUUUCUCUGAUGCAACAAAGGAUUCAAACAAGAUCACACCGAUAUAAGGAACAAAUAAACAAGUAUGAUUUAAUGAGAAAAUUACACUUAGCAUAAAACUGCGGAUUGGAACUAGCUUACAAUGAUAACGGUAAAGAAUUAUGAACAUAUCUUAUAUAAACAAGAUGAUCUUAUCGGGGAGAGCUUGGCAGACACUACAGUGAAGAAUGUUUGACUCCAUUGAUGGCCAAAAAAAAACAGUCCUUGACUGUGCAAAAAUGAGCUGCGACGUGGAUGAAGACCACGUCCAAUCAGAAUGACCGGGCUCAAGGCAGAACGGCAAGGGCGUCAUAAAAACGGGAACUUGAUGAUCCUACAAACUUGAACUAGAUUCAGUUCAUGAACUAUUUUUUUUUCGGGACAAAUUUCAACUCUCGCCUCACUUGGUCUGGACAAACAUGUCUCACAAGUACCACAGACGAUUCGCCACCACAUGUUUAAAUGGUGCAGACGUCAACAAGUCAAAAGACUUCUCACAUCUCGCGUACGGUAGAAUUGCCUUCCAAAAUAUCUUUUUGUGUCUGCCAGGGUCCGUCUUUUAUAGCCUACGACUCUUUAAUAUAUUUCUUUUCAUUACGUAAGUUUAUAAAAUAGACUUUUUGGCAUUACUUAAUCUUACAAGAAACGUCCAGAACGUACACUAGAAAUAACGUUCUACAUGAAACUUCCGUAACGUACCACUGGAAUAUUCUGGACUACAGUGAGGUUAUUCAGCGUGGCCAGGGGUCAAAUGCAGGUAACAAGCAGAGUCUUGUGAGCUAGCUUAACAUAAUCUGAAACACAUACUGAGGCGGCAUGUGUACACGUAACAACCGAACUAUCUUUCGAAAUAAUCACCCUUUAGUCUAGAAACCAGCAAAUAAACAUUCUAAUUCGUACAUUGUCACCCAAAUAUAUAGUCGUCCGACAGUGUAACCCUUGCAAUGACGUAAUAAAAAUCAACCAAUAAUGCAAUACCAACGGAUAACGUAAAAAAUUACUUAUAAUUACUUGAUCAUCACCAAUUGUGUUCAAAAUACUGCUGCUGGAUUAGUUUGUAAGCAACCCAAGUUUUGUCAUAUUACUCCGUGAAUUUAUCAAUAAUUGCACUGCAACACCUAUUGCCUAUCAUCGUCAUCAAAGUUAUCGACAAUUACAUGAUAAUUGGUUUUGGUUAGGCGGAAGAUACCCAUUGUUGCAAUUCUUUUCCCCCAAACUGUGUCAUCAAACUCAUUCAAUGCAAAAUAUUGAAAAAUGUGUUGUUUCGUUUCAAGCAUGGAUGUUGAAACACAAGUUGAAACUUAACGCUGGAAAAACAGAGGUGAUUUUGUUUGGUUCUCAACAACAGCUGGAUAAAAUCCACAUUAACCAUGUUAAAAUUGGUGACAACCAUAUAAAAAUCGUUGACAAUGUCUGGAGUCUGGCCGGAUACAAGAUUGUCUAUUACUCUCAUAUCAAUCAUAUUUGCAAGAGGGUGAAUUAUAAUGUAAGGUAGUAUUUGAAAAUAUACGAGUCAAGGAGUUACUGAGAGCUUGGUUCUUUCAUUAAUUACUUAUGCCAACUCUGUAGUGUAUGAUAUAUCUCAAUCUUCGAUCGUAUAAUAAACUUAACGACAGGACAUUUGCAAUUGCUGGACCGACGUUGUGGAUUUCUUUGCCAAACCAGUUGAAAGAUAUUAAGAAUGAAAACGAGUUCAAGCGUGCAAUCAAGACGUACCUUUUUAAUACAUGUUACAAUUAACAAGAUCUUAUUCAUAUAAUUUUAUGUUUUAUUAAUCAUGUGGUAAUUUACAUGUAGUUUUGUAGUUCUCAUUAUAAUUUUAAUUAUAGCAUAGAAUUGUUAUUGUGUAAUCAUAUUAUUUUUGUCAUUCGGAUAUGGGCGCUUUAUAGAAAUGGCUCUUUAGAAAUGAAAUAAAUAUUAAAUGUUACCUAUCGCAAUUCAGUUCAAACUUCUAUACAUGUGGUUGGUUUUUACCUACAGAUAUCGUUUUCAGAAAACAAACCUGGCGACGAAUCAUUUUCAAAUUAAAUUCAUUGCUGGUCCAAAACUCUUGAAUGAUCUCCUGAUUGAAAUUAUGCAGCAACGGAAAUCUCAGUUUUAAAUCUAAACUUAAACUUUUUCUUUCGGAAGGCUUUUAAUGUGAAAUUAUGAGUUAUGCACGACUCACUUUCGUAACUUGUACAAGGAAUGAACAUUUUCCUUGAUGAAUAAAUUUUUGGGUUUUUUCCUCUUUUUUUUCUUAAAAGUGAUGUACAUGCACAUAUACUUUAGAGCGCAUGGCCU